rnacentral:rRNA from 1 species
GUAGGUGGCAAGCGUUGUCCGGAAUUAUUGGGCGUAAAGCGCGCGCAGGUGGUUCUUUAAGUCUGAUGUGAAAGCCCCCGGCUCAACCGGGGAGGGUCAUUGGAAACUGGGGAACUUGAGUGCAGGAGAGGAAAGUGGAAUUCCACGUGUAGCGGUGAAAUGCGUAGAUAUGUGGAGGAACACCAGUGGCGAAGGCGACUUUCUGGCCUGUAACUGACACUGAGGCGCGAAAGCGUGGGGAGCAAACAGGGAUUAGAUACCCUGGUAGUCCACGCCGUAAACGAUGAGUGCUAAGUGUUGGGGGGGUUUCCCGCCCCGUCAGUGCUGCAGCUAACGCAUUAAGCACUCCGCCUGGGGAGUACGGCCGCAAGACUG